GUUUCUCGGGAAGAAUUUCUAAGGGAAAUUAACAAACGAACAGAGAUGUAACACUAUUAAGGAUUUGGAGAUCUGUAUAUUGGGGAAACUAUACACAAAUUAGGUGACAGAUUCUGUGAACAUCUCCAACUUGUACGCAAUGGCACCCUCAACCACCUGGUUCCCAAACACUUCAACUCCUCGGAUCACAACGGAAUUCACGACAUAAGUGCUGGAUUUGCAUGUGCCUUUGCAAUAAUGUUGGGAAUGUGUAUCAUCUGUUUGUAUACUGCAUACAGAAUAGUCAAAAUGCCAGGGCUGGUUAGUGGUGCUUCAGAAGUACUUCUAGAAUUUUCUGAUGUAGCUCGACAUUUGUUGGGGCGUUGGGGAGAGUGGUGUAGUCUUUUAUUCUCCCUUCUCACACUUUUAGGCAGUGCUAUAGUUUAUUGGGUGCUCUUAACAAAUUUCACAUACUACACUGUUGUGUACAUCUAUGGUGAGUUUGAAGUCUGUGUAAAUAUAUACACUUGACAAAAUACCAGUUAUAUAUGUUUAAAAUAUAUACUGCUGCAUUUGAUAAAACAACUUAUUAUGGUCUCUUACAAAAUUAAGGAUUUCACAAGUGAAAUAUCUUUACUGUAAUUCAAUAUUAAAACUUAAUGUUUUCAUUUCAUUGUACAAGUAAUAAUGGAUUGAAUGAAUGAUGCUUUAUAGAAUGAAUUGAAACUUGAUUAUUGUUACGACAGCGGAAUUCACGUGAAACUGGUAACACGUAAUGAGUUCUAGAAAGAUCGGGGAACAUCACGAAUAAUCUGGUCUUUGCUAGGCACCCUCUAUUCUUGUAUAUAAGUGAGCCAGAUAAUGAAUUGGAAUAGAAUUUCAGAGAUAGAGACGGACAAUUGAGUCAAGCAUGGUAGUAAGUAAAGUGCAUGAAUCGUUCGUUGUGAAGGCUCGAGUGUUUACCAGACGCCCUCUAUUUCGUAUAUAUAAGACCGGCGAGAAGUG
rnacentral:lncRNA from 1 species